AUGACUGGGGAGGUGAACAACUACUAUUUGCUUCCCGAAGAACCCGACCCCUUGCGCACCUUGCAUCAUAAGGAUAGCAUCACCAAGGUUAUGUUUCUCGCUGCCGUGGCUAAACCAAGAUACGGCGAAGGUGGUAAGGUCACGUUUGAUGGGAAGCUCGGCAUUUGGGCUUUUGUCACAGAGUCUCCUGCUCAAAGAACAAGUGAAAAUAGAGAUAAAGGGACGCUCAAGCUCAAAUCAUUGAAAGUCACAAGAGAUGUAAUG
rnacentral:rRNA from 1 species